rnacentral:rRNA from 1 species
ACGAACGCUGGCGGCAGGCUUAACACAUGCAAGUCGAACGAACGUAGCAAUACGUUAGUGGCGCACGGGUGAGUAACGCGUGGAUAUUUGCCUUUUGGUUCGGGAUAACCUUGGGAAACUAGGGCUAAUACCGAAUGGUUCCUACGGGAUAAAGAUUUAUCGCCAAAAGAUGAGUCCGCGUCCGAUUAGCUAGUUGGUGGGGUAAUGGCCCACCAAGGCGACGAUCGGUAGCUGGUCUGAGAGGACGAUCAGCCACACUGGGACUGAGACACGGCCCAGACUCCUACGGGAGGCAGCAGUGGGGAAUAUUGGACAAUGGGGGCAACCCUGAUCCAGCCAUGCCGCGUGAGUGAUGAAGGCCUUCGGGUUGUAAAGCUCUUUUGGCGGGGACGAUGAUGACGGUACCCGCAGAAUAAGCCCCGGCUAACUUCGU